rnacentral:rRNA from 1 species
UUACGACCUCGAUGUUGGAUCAGGGUAUCCCAGUGGUGCAGCCGCUACUAAAGGUUCGUUUGUUCAACGAUUAAAACCCUACGUGAUCUGAGUUCAGACCGGAGUAAUCCAGGUCAGUUUCUAUCUAUAACGGAAUUUUUUCUAGUACGAAAGGACCGAAAGAACAUGGCCUAUACUCUAUGCAAGCCAUAAUUAUCAACUUAUGACCAAGUCUUAAUAAGUACAUGACCCGCCACCCACCUCAAGAAAAGAGCA